rnacentral:ncRNA from 16 species
GGCACUUUGGCGGAGUGGUUAACGCGGUAUGUUGUAUCGAUUCUGAAAAUCUACCGAGACAUUUUACUGACAAGUAAUAGCUGGCCUGCUAGUCCUUCAUUGAAGGGAAGUCAGCCAGUUCCUUCGGGAGCGUGUGUUCGAAUCACACAGGUGUCG